rnacentral:rRNA from 1 species
GAUGAACGCUGGCGGCGUGCUUAACACAUGCAAGUCGAACGGAAAGGCCCUGCUUUUGUGGGGUGCUCGAGUGGCGAACGGGUGAGUAACACGUGAGUAACCUGCCCUUGACUUUGGGAUAACUUCAGGAAACUGGGGCUAAUACCGGAUAGGAGCUCCUGCUGCAUGGUGGGGGUUGGAAAGUUUCGGCGGUUGGGGAUGGACUCGCGGCUUAUCAGCUUGUUGGUGGGGUAGUGGCUUACAAAGGCUUUGACGGGUAGCCGGCCUGAGAGGGUGACCGGCCACAUUGGGACUGAGAUACGGCCCAGACUCCUACGGGAGGCAGCAGUGGGGAAUAUUGCACAAUGGGCGGAAGCCUGAUGCAGCAACGCCGCGUGCGGGAUGACGGCCUUCGGGUUGUAAACCGCUUUCGCCUGUGACGAAGCGUGAGUGACGGUAAUGGGUAAAGAAGCACCGGCUAACUACGUG